rnacentral:rRNA from 1 species
UGAAGUUAAAGNCAUUGGCUCAACCAAUGUAUGCUUUGGAAACUGUUAGACUNGAGUGCAGAAGGGGAGAGUGGAAUUCCAUGUGUAGCGGUGAAAUGCGUAGAUAUAUGGAGGAACACCGGUGGCGAAAGCGGCUCUCUGGUCUGUCACUGACGCUGAGGCUCGAAAGCGUGGGUAGCGAACAGGAUUAGAUACCCUGGUAGUNCACGCCGUAAACGCUGAGUGCUAGGUGUUAGGUCCUUUCCGGGACUUAGUGCCGACGCUAACGCAUUAAGCACUCCGCCUGGGGAGUACGACCGCAAGGUUGAAACUCAAAGGAAUUGACGGGGGCCCGCACAAGCGGUGGAGCAUGUGGUUUAAUUCGAAGCAACGCGAAGAACCUUACCAGGUCUUGACAUCCCGAUGCCCGCUCUAGAGAUAGAGUUUUUCUUCGGAACAUCGGAGACAGGUGGUGCAUGGUUGUCGUCAGCUCGUGUCGUGAGAUGUUGGGUUAAGUCCCGCAACGAGCGCAACCCUUAUUGUUAGUUGCCAUCAUUAAGUUGGGCACUCUAGCGAGACUGCCGGUAAUAAACCGGAGGAAGGUGGGGAUGACGUCAAAUCAUCAUGCCCCUUAUGACCUGGGCUACACACGUGCUACAAUGGUUGGUACAACGAGUCGCAAGCCGGUGACGGCAAGCUAAUCUCUGAAAGCCAAUCUCAGUUCGGAUUGUAGGCUGCAACUCGCCUACAUGAAGUCG